rnacentral:sRNA from 1 species
UUUUUAAAACAUGCCAUUGUGUUUCAGGCUCGCGGGAUUGAUGUGCAACAAGUGUCUUUGGUUAUAAAUUAUGAUCUACCUACCAAUCGUGAAAACUAUAUUCACAGAAUUGGCAGAGGGGGUCGAUUUGGGAGGAAAGGUGUGGCUAUAAACUUUGUUACUGAAGAAGACAAGAGGAUUCUUCGUGACAUUGAGACUUUCUACAAUACUACAGUGGAGGAGAUGCCCAUGAAUGUGGCUGACCUUAUUUAAUUCCUGGGAUGAGAGUUUUGGAUGCAGUGCUCGCUGUUGCUGAAUAGGCGAUCACAACGUGCAUUGUGCUUCUUUCUUUGGGAAUUUGAAUCUUGUCUCAAUGCUCAUAACGGAUCAGAAAUACAGAUUUUGAUAGCAAAGCGACAUUAGUCGUGAGCUCUUGUGAGGAAAGUCAUUGGCUUUAUCCUCUUUAGAGUUAGACUGUU